rnacentral:snRNA from 1 species
GUGCUCGUGUCGGCAGCACACGCUAAAAUUGGAACGACAGAGAAGACUCCCACGGGCCCCUGCACAAGGAUGACAUGCAAAUUCAUGAAGUGUUCCGUAUUUUC